AUUGAACGCUGGCGGCAUGCCUUACACAUGCAAGUCGAACGGUAACAGGUCUUCGGAUGCUGACGAGUGGCGAACGGGUGAGUAAUACAUCGGAACGUGCCCGAUCGUGGGGGGAUAACGGAGCGAAAGCUUUGCUAAUACCGCAUACGAUCUACGGAUGAAAGCAGGGGACCGCAAGGCCUUGCGCGGACGGAGCGGCCGAUGGCAGAUUAGGUAGUUGGUGGGAUAAAAGCUUACCAAGCCGACGAUCUGUAGCUGGUCUGAGAGGACGACCAGCCACACUGGGACUGAGACACGGCCCAGACUCCUACGGGAGGCAGCAGUGGGGAAUUUUGGACAAUGGGCGCAAGCCUGAUCCAGCCAUGCCGCGUGCAGGAUGAAGGCCUUCGGUUGGUAACUAGCUUUGUUACGGUAACGAAAAGAACGUACUUCUUAAUAAAGUAAGGGUCCGACUGACGGUACCGUAAGAAUAAGACACCGGCUAACUACGUGCCAGCAGCCGCGGUAACG
rnacentral:rRNA from 1 species